UACGGAGGGUGCAAGCGUUAUCCGGAAUCACUGGGUUUAAAGGGUGCGUAGGCGGCGUUAUAAGUCAGAGGUGAAAGCCCCCAGCUUAACUGGGGAACUGCCUUUGAUACUGUAGUGCUUGAAUCAGGUUGAGGUUAGCGGAAUGUGUCAUGUAGCGGUGAAAUGCAUAGAUAUGACAUAGAACACCAAUUGCGAAGGCAGCUGACUAGACCUGUAUUGACGCUGAGGCACGAAAGCGUGGGGAGCGAACAGG
rnacentral:rRNA from 1 species